GGACAACCUGCCCUUAGGUUGGGUAUAAACCCGGGAAACUGGGUAUAAUACCCGAUAGGUCUCGAUUGCUGGAAUGCAUCGAGAUUUAAAGCUCCGGCGCCUAAGGAUGGGUCUGCGGCCUAUCAGGUAGUAGUGGGUGUAGCGUACCUACUAGCCUACGACGGGUACGGGUUGUGAGAGCAAGAGCCCGGAGAUGGAUUCUGAGACACGAAUCCAGGCCCUACGGGGUGCAGCAGGCGCGAAAACUUUACAAUGCUGGCAACAGCGAUAAGGGAACCUCGAGUGCCAGGUUACAAAUCUGGCUGUCGAGAUGCCUAAAAAGCAUUUCAUAGCAAGGGCCGGGCAAGACCGGUGCCAGCCGCCGCGGUAACACCGGCGGCUCGAGUGGUAACCGUUAUUAUUGGGUCUAAAGGGUCUGUAGCCGGCCGGAUAAGUCUCUUGAGAAAUCUGGCAGCUUAACUGUCAGGCUUUCAGGAGAUACUGUCUGGCUCGAGGCCGGGAGAGGUGAGAGGUACUCCAGGGGUAGGGGUGAAAUCUUGUAAUCCUUGAAGGACCACCAGUGGCGAAGGCGUCUCACCAGAACGGACCUGACGGCAAGGGACGAAAGCUAGGGGCACGAACCGGAUUAGAUACCCGGGUAGUCCUAGCCGUAAACGAUACUCGCUAGGUGUCGGCCACGGUGCGACCGUUGUCGGUGCCGUAGGGAAGCCGUGAAGCGAGCCACCUGGGAAGUACGGCCGCAAGGCUGAAACU
rnacentral:rRNA from 1 species